GAUGAACGCUAGCGACAGGCUUAACACAUGCAAGUCGAGGGGCAGCACGGGAGUAGCAAUACAACUGGUGGUGACCGGCGCACGGGUGAGUAACGCGUAUGCAACCUACCUAUCAGAGGGGAAUAACCCGGCGAAAGUCGGACUAAUACCGCAUAAAACAGGGGCACCGCAUGGUGAUAUUUGUUAAAGAAAUUCGCUGAUAGAUGGGCAUGCGUUCCAUUAGGUAGUUGGUGAGGUAACGGCUCACCAAGCCGACGAUGGAUAGGGGAACUGAGAGGUUGGUCCCCCACACUGGUACUGAGACACGGACCAGACUCCUACGGGAGGCAGCAGUGAGGAAUAUUGGUCAAUGGGCGAGAGCCUGAACCAGCCAAGUCGCGUGAAGGAAGAGGGAUCUAUGGUUCGUAAACUUCUUUUGCAGGGGAAUAAAGUGCAGGACGUGUCCUGUUUUGUAUGUACCCUGAGAAUAAGGAUCGGCUAACUCCGUGCCAGCAGCCGCAGUAACAC
rnacentral:rRNA from 1 species